rnacentral:rRNA from 1 species
UACAGAGGGUGCGAGCGUUGUCCGGAAUCACUGGGCGUAAAGGGCGCGUAGGUGGCCCGGUCAGUCCGUGGUGAAAGCGCGGGGCUCAACCCUGCGUCGGCCAUGGAUACUGCCGCGGCUCGAGCACUGUAGAGGCAGGCGGAAUUCCGGGUGUAGCGGUGGAAUGCGUAGAGAUCCGGAAGAACACCGGUGGCGAAGGCGGCCUGCUGGGCAGUUUGGCUGACACUGAGGCGCGACAGCGUGGGGAGCAAACAGG